rnacentral:rRNA from 2 species
UAGGGAAUCUUCCGCAAUGGACGAAAGUCUGACGGAGCAACGCCGCGUGAGCGAAGAAGGCCUUCGGGUCGUAAAGCUCUGUUGUUAGGGAAGAACAAGUAUCGGAGUAACUGCCGGUACCUUGACGGUACCUAACCAGAAAGCCACGGCUAACUACGUGCCAGCAGCCGCGGUAAUACGUAGGUGGCAAGCGUUGUCCGGAAUUAUUGGGCGUAAAGCGCGCGCAGGCGGUCCUUUAAGUCUGAUGUGAAAGCCCACGGCUCAACCGUGGAGGGUCAUUGGAAACUGGGGGACUUGAGUGCAGAAGAGGAGAGUGGAAUUCCACGUGUAGCGGUGAAAUGCGUAGAGAUGUGGAGGAACACCAGUGGCGAAGGCGACUCUCUGGUCUGUAACUGACGCUGAGGCGCGAAAGCGUGGGGAGCAAACAGG